UACGGGGGGGGGCAAGCGUUGUUCGGAAUUACUGGGCGUAAAGGGCUCGUAGGUGGCCAACUAAGUCAGACGUGAAAUCCCUCGGCUUAACCGGGGAACUGCGUCUGAUACUGGAUGGCUUGAGUUUGGGAGAGGGACGCGGAAUUCCAGGUGUAGCGGUGAAAUGCGUAGAUAUCUGGAGGAACACCGGUGGCGAAGGCGGCAUCCUGGACCGGUAUUGACGCUGAGGCGCGAAAGCUAGGGGAGCAAACGGG
rnacentral:rRNA from 1 species